GACGAACGCUGGCGGCGUGCUUAACACAUGCAAGUCGAACGGAAAGGCCCCCACCUUGGUGGGGGUGCUCGAGUGGCGAACGGGUGAGUAACACGUGGGUGAUCUGCCCUGUACUUCGGGAUAAGCUUGGGAAACUGGGUCUAAUACCGGAUAGGACCAUGGUUUAGUGUCUCAUGGUGGAAAAAUUAUUGUUUUGGUGCAGGAUGAGCUCGCGGCCUAUCAGCUUGUUGGUGGGGUAAUGGCCUACCAAGGCGUCGACGGGUAGCCGGCCUGAGAGGGUGGACGGCCACAUUGGGACUGAGAGACGGCCCAGACUCGUACGGGAGGCAGCAGUGGGGAAUAUUGCACAAUGGGAGCAAGCCUGAUGCAGCGACGCCGCGUGGGGGAUGACGGCCUUCGGGUUGUAAACUCCUUUCGUUAGGGACGAAGCCACACCUUUUUUGGGUGUGGUGACGGUACCUUUGUUAAGAAGCACCGGCUAACUACGUG
rnacentral:rRNA from 1 species